GAUGAAGAACGCAGCGAAUUGCGAUAAGUAAUGUGAAUUGCAGAAUUCAGUGAAUCAUCGAGUCUUUGAACGCACAUUGCGCCCCCUGGUAUUCCGGGGGGCAUGCCUGUCCGAGCGUCAUUGCUGCCCUCAAGCACGGCUUGUGUGUUGGGCCUCCGUCCUCCUCCCGGGGGACGGGCCCGAAAGGCAGCGGCGGCACCGCGUCCGGUCCUCGAGCGUAUGGGGCUUCGUCACCCGCUCUUGUAGGCCCGGCCGGCGCUUGCCGACACAUCAAUCUUUUUUCCAGGUUGACCUCGGAUCAGGUAGGGAUACCCGCUGAACUUAAGCAUAUCAAUAAGCGGAGGA
rnacentral:misc_RNA from 1 species